rnacentral:tRNA from 1 species
CAAAUUAGAACUUGGUUAGAUAAGUAUUUCAUUUACAUUGAAAAGGAGUUGUGCAAUUCAAUAUGAUUUGA